rnacentral:rRNA from 2 species
AGAGUUUGAUCAUGGCUCAGAUUGAACGCUGGCGGCAGGCCUAACACAUGCAAGUCGAACGGUAACAGGAAGCAGCUUGCUGUUUUGCUGACGAGUGGCGGACGGGUGAGUAAUAUCUGGGAAACUGCCCGAUGGAGGGGGAUAACUACUGGAAACGGUAGCUAAUACCGCAUAACGUCGCAAGACCAAAGAGGGGGACCUUAGGGCCUCUUGCCAUCGGAUGUGCCCAGAUGGGAUUAGCUAGUAGGUGGGGUAACGGCUCACCUAGGCGACGAUCCCUAGCUGGUCUGAGAGGAUGACCAGCCACACUGGAACUGAGACACGGUCCAGACUCCUACGGGAGGCAGCAGUGGGGAAUAUUGCACAAUGGGCGCAAGCCUGAUGCAGCCAUGCCGCGUGUAUGAAGAAGGCCUUCGGGUUGUAAAGUACUUUCAGCGGGGAGGAAGGGAGUAAAGUUAAUACCUUUGCUCAUUGACGUUACCCGCAGAAGAAGCACCGGCUAACUCCGUGCCAGCAGCCGCGGUAAUACGGAGGGUGCAAGCGUUAAUCGGAAUUACUGGGCGUAAAGCGCACGCAGGCGGUUUGUUAAGUCAGAUGUGAAAUCCCCGGGCUCAACCUGGGAACUGCAUCUGAUACUGGCAAGCUUGAGUCUCGUAGAGGGGGGUAGAAUUCCAGGUGUAGCGGUGAAAUGCGUAGAGAUCUGGAGGAAUACCGGUGGCGAAGGCGGCCCCCUGGACGAAGACUGACGCUCAGGUGCGAAAGCGUGGGGAGCAAACAGGAUUAGAUACCCUGGUAGUCCACGCCGUAAACGAUGUCGACUUGGAGGUUGUGCCCUUGAGGCGUGGCUUCCGGAGCUAACGCGUUAAGUCGACCGCCUGGGGAGUACGGCCGCAAGGUUAAAACUCAAAUGAAUUGACGGGGGCCCGCACAAGCGGUGGAGCAUGUGGUUUAAUUCGAUGCAACGCGAAGAACCUUACCUGGUCUUGACAUCCACGGAAGUUUUCAGAGAUGAGAAUGUGCCUUCGGGAACCGUGAGACAGGUGCUGCAUGGCUGUCGUCAGCUCGUGUUGUGAAAUGUUGGGUUAAGUCCCGCAACGAGCGCAACCCUUAUCCUUUGUUGCCAGCGGUCCGGCCGGGAACUCAAAGGAGACUGCCAGUGAUAAACUGGAGGAAGGUGGGGAUGACGUCAAGUCAUCAUGGCCCUUACGACCAGGGCUACACACGUGCUACAAUGGCGCAUACAAAGAGAAGCGACCUCGCGAGAGCAAGCGGACCUCAUAAAGUGCGUCGUAGUCCGGAUUGGAGUCUGCAACUCGACUCCAUGAAGUCGGAAUCGCUAGUAAUCGUGGAUCAGAAUGCCACGGUGAAUACGUUCCCGGGCCUUGUACACACCGCCCGUCACACCAUGGGAGUGGGUUGCAAAAGAAGUAGGUAGCUUAACCUUCGGGAGGGCGCUUACCACUUUGUGAUUCAUGACUGGGGUGAAGUCGUAACAAGGUAACCGUAGGGGAACCUGCGGUUGGAUCACCU